rnacentral:miRNA from 1 species
CGACGAGGGCCGGUCGGUCGC